CAUUAAGAAGCUAUGUACCAGCACUAGCCUUUUAAGCUAGCGAAAGAGGAUUACUUCCCCCUCCUUAAUGA
rnacentral:tRNA from 1 species